AUUGUUAUUGUUGUUAUCAUAACUGCAGCUGUACUUAUCAUUUUUGAUAAAAAAUGAAAAAAACAUUUUUGAUUUGAAAAAAAAAACAGUCCUCCGCAGAGGAGGGGUGGUGGAGGGAAUAUACAUGUAAAAAAAAAUAUUAUUAUAUGAAGGUUGAUGUUGCUAUUUAUUGUUAUUGUUGUUAUCAUAACUGCUGCUGUACUUAUCAUUUUUGUUAUUGCUAUUACUAUUGUUAUUGGCUCUAGUUGUUUUUCUUUUUUUUAUUUUUAUUAUUUUUAUUUUCUUUUUGUUUUUCUUUGUUUUUGUGUUUUUUUUCUUCAUAAUGGAAAUUUAAAAUAAAGUAGUCCUCCGCAGAGGAGGGGUGGUGGAGGGAAUAUGCAUGUAAAAAAAAAUAAUUGUCACGCAACAGGGGUGACAUAUAUCUCCCUGAGCCUGCGCAGUUUGUCGGGUGUUAUGGGUGGUCCCGAAGGGGUCUGACCCCCUCUGCUGGUGGUGGGCUGGGUUGGUGCGUGAGUUGUGUCACUGUGGGUCAGGGUCCUGACGGGUAUUCCGGGUACUUUGGGACACUACGUGCGUCGAAGGCAGCUUUGUGGUUUGGUCUUGUGCUGGGUGGGGGUGCCUACCUUCUUCUGUGGCCCUGGGUUCGGCUUCCUGGAAAGUGGGGUGGGCCCUUUUCACGGCCCCCCUCUACUUCCCGCUCCCCCUCAGCACUACUGGUGGUCGCAUGCCGGGGGGUCAGAAUGGGGGGGGUGUCGCUGCUACUCCCCACAUCAACUAUUAGCACAUCCAUGGACAAAUCGCUACAUUCACACACAAGCAUAAAUACAUACAUAUAUAGGUAUGCAUCCACACUUACCUGUACACCCCACACAUGUAGAUACACAUACACAACCAAUAGCAGACACGUUGUUUUUCUUUGUUUAUUUUUUGUGUUUUUUUUUGUUUGAAAUGGAAAUUAAAAAUAAAGCAGUCCUCCGCAGAGGAGGGGUGGUGGAGGGAAUAUAUAUGUAGAUAUAUAAAAUAAUUGUCUCACAACUAGGGUGACAUACCUUGCCUGCUCACUCAAUUUUAGUGCUCCUUAGUUAUCCAUACUGACCAUCUAGUCUCUGUCACGGGAGAUCGCGGGCAGAGCGGCGAUCGUGCGUGCAGGCGGGCAAGGACAGGCAGACAAGCAGAAAUCGGGGCAAAGUACGGGGUUUAAUCGGGGACACGGAACUACGAACACUGACUGACAUCAAUGACGGACGAAGGACUCAGGUAAGACACGGACUGAAAUACACAGGACUGAGCAAAUGAACUAGAUACAGCUGGGUACAAUUGGGAGAAAACACGUGGGUAAUCAGGGGGCGUGGCACACAGGAGGAGCGGACGAGCCGGGCAUGACAGAACCCCCCCCCAAAGGCGCGCUACUCCGGGCGCGCCAAGGAAGGGGGCGACGGACGGGACGAGGCAAAACAGGACCUGAAAAACAAGAACAGAAUCAACGCAGGACGGGGAACAGGACCGAAGCACAAAACAUGGCAAGAGACAGAACGUAGGACAGGAGCUGACAAAGGGCUGGGAAAGCGGAGAGACAGAUCUGUCACGGGAGAUCGCGGGCAGAGCGGCGAUCGUGCGUGCAGGCGGGCAAGGACAGGCAGACAAGCAGAAAUCGGGGCAAAGUACGGGGUUUAAUCGGGGACACGGAACUACGAACACUGACUGACAUCAAUGACGGACGAAGGACUCAGGUAAGACACGGACUGAAAUACACAGGACUGAGCAAAUGAACUAGAUACAGCUGGGUACAAUCGGGAGAAAACACGUGGGUAAUCAGGGGGCGUGGCACACAGGAGGAGCGGACGAGCCGGGCAUGACAGUCUCGAUACACCCAUAUAUAUAUUUUUUUGGGAAUAUGGUGGGGUGCAUGGGAUUCCGCCGUCUGCCAGCGGUGGGGAGCUCGUACCCUGACCACUCCCUCACUUUUAAUGUACCGCAGUUUUGAAUUGCACACACUUCUGUUCACACACACAUUCAUACACACCGACAUGUACAUACAUUACACACACACACAUUGAGCGGGGGGGCAGAUGGGGGCCUGAAGAGGGCCCCUUUUAUUCUCCCUCUCUGGGCCCUUGGAGGGUGUGGUGGGUGGUCCCGGGGGGGGUUUGGAGAGUACCCGGAAAACCUGCCUGGUCCUUGACCCACAGUGGCACAUCCUUGAUGAUAAUACGUUGUUGUAAAUUUGUAUUAUGUGGUGGUUGAUGUUGCUAUUUAUUGUUAUUGUUGUUAUCACAGCUGCAGCUGUACUUAUCAUUUUUGUUAUUGCUAUUAAUUUUGUUAUUGGCUCUAGUUUUUCUUUUUAUUUAUUUUUAUUAUUUUUAUUUUCUUUUUGUUUUUCUUAAUUUUUUGUUUUUUUUACGCAAUGGACAUGAAAAAAAAAACAGUCCUCCGCAGAGGAGGGGUGGUGGAGGGAAUAUACAUGUAAAAAAAAAUAAUUAUUAUAUGGAGGUUGAUGUUACUAUUUAUUGUUAUUGUUGUUAUCAUAACUGCAGCUGUACUUAUCAUUUUUGAUAAAAAAUGAAAAAAACAUUUUUGAUUUGAAAAAAAAAACAGUCCUCCGCAGAGGAGGGGUGGUGGAGGGAAUAUACAUGUAAAAAAAAAUUAUUAUUAUAUGGAGGUUGAUGUUGCUAUUUAUUGUUAUUGUUGUUAUCAUAACUGCAGCUGUACUUAUCAUUUUUGUUAUUGCUAUUACUAUUGUUAUUGGCUCUAGUUGUUUUUCUUUUUAUUUAUUUUUAUUAUUUUUAUUUUCUUUUUGUUUUUCUUUGUUUUUGUGUUUUUUUUUCUUCAUAAUGGAAAUUUAAAAUAAAGUAGUCCUCCGCAGAGGAGGGGUGGUGGAGGGAAUAUGCAUGUAAAAAAAAAUUAUUGUCACGCAACAGGGGUGACAUAUAUCUCCCUGAGCCUGCGCAGUUUGUCGGGUGUUAUGGGUGGUCCCGAAGGGGUCUGACCCCCUCUGCUGGUGGUGGGCUGGGUUGUUGCGUGAGUUGUGUCACUGUGGGUCAGGGUCCUGACGGGUAUUCCGGGUACUUUGGGACACUACGUGCGUCGAAGGCGGCUUUGUGGUUUGGUCUUGUGCUGGGUGGGGGUGCCUACCUUCUUCUGUGGUCCUGGGUUCGGCUUCCUGGAAAGUGGGGUGGGCCCUUUUCACGGCCCCCCUCUACUUCCCGCUCCCCCUCAGCACUACUGGUGGUCGCAUGCCGGGGGGUCAGAAUGGGGGGGGUGUCGCUGCUACUCCCCACAUCAACUAUUAGCACAUCCAUGGACAAAUCGCUACACUCACACACAAGCAUAAAUACAUACAUAUAUAGGUAUGCAUCCACACUUACCUGUACACCCCACACAUGUAGAUACACAUACACAACCAAUAGCAGACACGUUGUUUUUCUUUGUUUAUUUUUUGUGUUUUUUUUGUUUGAAAUGGAAAUAAAAAAUAAAGCAGUCCUCCGCAGAGGAGGGGUGGUGGAGGGAAUAUAUAUGUAGAUAUAUAAAAUAAUUGUCUCACAACUAGGGUGACAUACCUUGCCUGCUCACUCAAUUUUAGUGCUCCUUAGUUAUCCAUACUGACCAUCUAGUCUCUGUCACGGGAGAUCGCGGGCAGAGCGGCGAUCGUGCGUGCAGGCGGGCAAGGACAGGCAGACAAGCAGAAAUCGGGGCAAAGUACGGGGUUUAAUCGGGGACACGGAACUACGAACACUGACUGACAUCAAUGACGGACGAAGGACUCAGGUAAGACACGGACUGAAAUACACAGGACUGAGCAAAUGAACUAGAUACAGCUGGGUACAAUCGGGAGAAAACACGUGGGUAAUCAGGGGGCGUGGCACACAGGAGGAGCGGACGAGCCGGGCAUGACAGAACCCCCCCCCAAAGGCGCGCUACUCCGGGCGCGCCAAGGAAGGGGGCGACGGACGGGACGAGGCAAAACAGGACCUGAAAAACAAGAACAGAAUCAACGCAGGACGGGGAACAGGACCGAAGCACAAAACAUGGCAAGAGACAGAACGUAGGACAGGAGCUGACAAAGCGGAGAGACAGAUCUGUCACGGGAGAUCGCGGGCAGAGCGGCGAUCGUGCGUGCAGGCGGGCAAGGACAGGCAGACAAGCAGAAAUUGGGGCAAAGUACGGGGUUUAAUCGGGGACACGGAACUACAAACACUGACUGACAUCAAUGACGGACGAAGGACUCAGGAGGAGCGGACGAGCCGGGCAUGACAGAACCCCCCCCCCAAAGGCGCGCUACUCCGGGCGCGCCAAGGAAGGGGGCGACGGACGGGACGAGGCAAAACAGGACCUGAAAAACAAGAACAGAAUCAAUGCAGGACGGGGAACAGGACCGAAGCACAAAACAUGGCAAGAGACAGAACGUAGGACAGGAGCUGACAAAGCGGAGAGACAGAUCUGUCACGGGAGAUCGCGGGCAGAGCUGCGAUCGUGCGUGCAGGCGGGCAAGGACAGGCAGACAAGCAGAAAUCGGGGCAAAGUACGGGGUUUAAUCGGGGACACGGAACUACGAACACUGACUGACAUCAAUGACGGACGAAGGACUCAGGUAAAUCACGGACUGAAAUACACAGGACUGAGCAAAUGAACUAGAUACAGCUGGGUACAAUCGGGAGAAAACACGUGGGUAAUCAGGGGGCGUGGCACACAGGAGGAGCGGACGAGCCGGGCAUGACAGAACCCCCCCCCAAAGGCGCGCUAUUCCGGGCGCGCCAAGGAAGGGGGCGACGGACGGGACGAGGCAAAACAGGACCUGAAAAACAAGAACAGAAUCAACGCAGGACGGGGAACAGGACCGAAGCACAAAACAUGGCAAGAGACAGAACGUAGGGCAGGAGCUGACAAAGGGCUGGGAAAGCGGAGAGACAGAUCUGUCACGGGAGAUCGCGGGCAGAGCGGCGAUCGUGCGUGCAGGCGGGCAAGGACAGGCAGACAAGCAGAAAUCGGGGCAAAGUACGGGGUUUAAUCGGUGACACGGAACUACGAACACUGACUGACAUCAAUGACGGACGAAGGACUCAGGUAAAUCACGGACUGAAAUACACAGGACUGAGCAAAUGAACUAGAUACAGCUGGGUACAAUCGGGAGAAAACACGUGGGUAAUCAGGGGGCGUGGCACACAGGAGGAGCGGAGGAGCCGGGCAUGACAGUCUCGAUACACCCAUAUAUAUUUUUUUUUGGGAAUAUGGUGGGGUGCAUGGGAUUCCGCCGUCUGCCAGCGGUGGGGAGCUCGUACCCUGACCACUUCCUCACUUUUAAUGUACCGCAGUUUUGAAUUGCACACACUUCUGUUCACACACACAUUCAUACACACCGACAUGUACAUACAUUACACACACACACAUUGAGCGGGGGGGCAGAUGGGGGCCUGAAGAGGGCCCCUUUUAUUCUCCCUCUCUGGGCCCUUGGAGGGUGUGGUGGGUGGUCCCGGGGGGGGUUUGGAGAGUACCCGGAAAACCUGCCUGGUCCUUGACCCACAGUGGCACAUCCUUGAUGAUAAUACGUUGUUGUAAAUUUGUAUUAUAUGAAGGUUGAUGUUGCUAUUUAUUGUUAUUGUUGUUAUCAUAACUGCAGCUGUACUUAUCAUUUUUGAUAAAAAAUGAAAAAAACAUUUUUGAUUUGAAAAAAAAAAACAGUCCUCCGCAGAGGAGGGGUGGUGGAGGGAAUAUACAUGUAAAAAAAAAAUAAUUAUUAUAUGGAGGUUGAUGUUGCUAUUUAUUGUUAUUGUUGUUAUCAUAACUGCAGCUGUACUUAUCAUUUUUGUUAUUGCUAUUACUAUUGUUAUUGGCUCUAGUUGUUUUUCUUUUUAUUUAUUUUUAUUAUUUUUAUUUUAUUUUUGUUUUUCUUUGUUUUUGUGUUUUUUUUUCUUCAUAAUGGAAAUUAAAAAUAAAGCAGUCCUCCGCAGAGGAGGGGUGGUGGAGGGAAUAUAUAUAUACAUAUAUAUAAAAUAAUUGUCACACAACUAGGGUGACAUACCUUGCCUGCUCCCCCAAUUUUAGUGCACCUUAGUUAUCCAACCUGACCAUCUAGUCUCGAUACACCCAUAUAUAUAUGUGUAUAUAUAUAUAUAUAUAGAUAUUUCUUCUUUUUUUUUUUUUCGCAAUGGACAAUAAAAAUAACGCAGUUCUCCGUAAAGGAGGGAUGGUGGAUGGACUAUAUAUAUACAUAUAUUUAAAGUAAUUGUCACACAACUGGGGUGACAUGCCUUGCCUGCUCCCCCAGUUUUAGUGCACCUUAGUUGUCCAUACUUACCAUCUAGUCUCGAUACACCCAUUUAUAUGUAUAUAUAUAGAUUUUUUUUUGUUUUUUUUCCCAAUGGGCAUUUAAAAUUAAGCAGUCCUCCUUAAAGGAGGGGUGGUGGAGGGAAUAUAUAUACAUAUAUAUAAAAUAUUUGUCACACACCUGGGGUGACAUGCCUUGCCUGCUCCCCCAAUUUUAGUGCACCUUAGUUAUCCAUACUGACCAUCUAGUCUCGAUACACCCAUAUAUAUAUGUGUAUAUAUAUAUAUAUAUAUAUAUAUAUAUAUAUAUAUAUAUAUAUAUUUUUUAUUUUUUUUUUUGUGUUUUUUUUCACAAUGGACAAUAAAAAUAACGCAGUUCUCCAUUAAGGAGGGAUGGUGGAUGGACUAUAUAUAUACAUAUAUAUAAAGUAAUUGUCACACACCUGGGGUGACAUGCCUUGCCUGCUCCCCCAAUUUUAGUGCACCUUAGUUAUCCAACCUGACCAUGUAGUCUCGAUACACCCAUUUAUAUGUAUAUAUAUAGAUUUUUUUUUUGUUUUUUUUUUCGCAAUGGAAAAUAAAAAUAACGCAGUUCUCCGUGAAGGAGGGAUGGUGGAUGGAAUAUAUAUAUAUACAUAUAUAUAUAAAAUAAUUGUCACACACCUGGGGUGACAUGCCAUGCCUGCUCCCCCAAGUUUAGUGCACCUUAGUUAUCCAACCUGACCAUCUAGUCUCGAUACACCCUUUAUAUAUAUAUGUAUAUAUAUAUAGAUAUAUAUUUUUUUUUGUGUGUUUUUUUUCGCAAUGGACAAUAAAAAUAACGCAGUCCUCCGUAGAGGAGCUCUGGUGGAGGGAAUAUAUAUAGAUACAUAUAAAAUAAUUGUCACACACCUGGGGUGACAUGCCUUGCCUGCUUGAGGGAUGAGGAAGACUCAGGGACUGGAAAUGGGAUUGAAACUGAAGAUGUUCUCAUUCCUUUUUGUAUUGUUUCCAAUUUUCCUUCCCCCAGAUAUGAGGAGUUUGCUGCUAUAUUGUGCACUAAUUGAGAUUCUGAUGCUGGUAUUUUUAUUGUUUAUAAGUUUGUUAUUGUUUUCAAGUUCUUUUGUGCUUUUGCAUUUUUCCUUCUGUUUUAGUAAUUGCUGUUUGAUGUCUGUGAAGGAUGGGUGGGGUGAGAAAACUCAGGGACUGGAAGCGGGAUUAAAACUGAAGAUUACAUGCUCAUUCCUUUUUGUUUUGUUUACAAAUUCUCCUACCGUCUGAUAUGAGGAGUUUGCUGCUAUAUUGUGUACUAAUAGAGAUUCUGAUGCUGCUAUUUUUAUUGUUUAUAAAUGUGUUAUUGUUUCAUAAGUUGAGUAUUCAAUAAAUGCUAAAUUGAGA